GACGAACGCUAGCGGCGUGCCUAAGCUAUGCAAGUCGAGCGGGGUUUCAGAGUCGAGUUUCCUUCGGGAGACAAAGCACUGAAACCUAGCGGCGAACGGGUGAGUAACACGUGAGCAACCUACCCUGUUGUCCGGGAUAACAGACCGAAAGGCCUGCUAAUACCGGAUACGAAGCUCCUUCGCAUGUUGGAGCUUGGAAAGGGGCAACCCGCAAUGGGAGGGGCUUACGGCCUAUCAGCUAGUUGGUGAGGUAACGGCCCACCAAGGCGACGACGGGUAGCCGACCUGAGAGGGUGACCGGCCACACUGGGACUGAGACACGGCCCAGACUCCUACGGGAGGCAGCAAGCGGGAAUCUUGCACAAUGGGCGCAAGCCUGAUGCAGCGACGCCGCGUGAGGGAUGAAGGCCUUCGGGUCGUAAACCUCUGUUGAUGGGGACGAAGAUC
rnacentral:rRNA from 1 species